ACGCUCGACACCUACUGGAGGCAGCAGUGGGGAAUAUUGCACAAUGGGGGAAACCCUGAUGCAGCGACGCCGCGUGAAGGAAGAAGUAUUUCGGUAUGUAAACUUCUAUCAGCAGGGAAGAAAAUGACGGUACCUGAGUAAGAAGCACCGGCUAAAUACGUGCCAGCAGCCGCGGUAAUCUGAGGCGGGCUGGCAAGGC
rnacentral:rRNA from 1 species